UCCGUAGUGCCUGGGGGCGGGGAACGCGGGGUUGCGGAUUACUUGGCCGCUUCCUACGAAGACUAGAGAGGGUCAAACAUAACUGAACGCAGUUGUGCCAACCUGUUUUUCCUAUUGAGGUGGCGUAAAUAUACCCCAUCUCCUGUACCAGGACGAGGAAAGUGACCAUUGUCUAGAAAUGGAAGGCUGGCAUUAAGAAGCCAUGUGCGAGACUACUGAAGAAUUCCAGGAAAGCUUCUGGGAGAGAUGAAUUUUGAACUGGACCAAAAUAACAGGUAUGAGUUCAUUAGGUAGAGAAGAGGGACUGAGGGUACCAAGGGCUAUUGCUGGCACAACAAAUUGUAUCCUGUGUGAAUGGUAUCCCCAAGGGUAAUGCAACGCAGAACCCUGCAAAAGGAGUGUUGAUGAGAAGGUUAAUCCAGGCAAGAACAAAGGCAGACAAGUGUAAAAUAACAGUGUGUUCAAGGAACUAGAAUCAGUUUGCAGUUACUCAACUGUAAAGUGAAGGUGGAAAGUAGUAGGAUGCAAAGUGGAGGAUGGAAGUUUCUCUGCUGUGGAUCUUGGACUGUGCUCUGUGGGCAGUGGAGAACCUACAGAUGGUAUUAAGCAGGAGAGUGGUGUGGAGUUUUGAAUUUCCAAGAGAUGUCUUGUGUGGUGAGUUGAUGCAUUUGAGGAAGUAAGUAAGAUCAGAUACAAGAACAGCGUUGACACUAAUUGCUAUAGUUCUGUGAACGAUAAGGGGGAACCUAAACCAGGACAUUGUAAGAGUACUCAGUGGGAGCAAAUGUAAGAGAUAUUUGGGGAGUACAAAAUCUGGACCCUGAUUUACUGUAAGGGGUGAGGCUGAGGGAAGGAGGAGGAUUCAGGAUAACUCCCAGGUUUCUGAAAGGUUUAGACUUGAGAGAUGAUGACAUCAGAUGAGAAAUUUGAGGUACUUGUCAACCACUCCCGUGGAUUUGUCCUGUAGCACAAGGUGAGAAACAAUAAAUGGCACAGGGGAAAUAGAAAUAAAAUUUAGAGGAGCAGAAGUAAAUUCUAGUUUGCAUAAUCAGGAAUGAUGGAAUCAUAAAGAAAAUAGUAUUUGGAUGUAGGCCUUGAAGGAUUGGUAAGAUUUGCAUUUAGCGACUUGAUGGGGUGGAAAUGUCCCAGAGAAGGCAUGGAUGGAUACCCUCAGGAUAUUGUUUGAGAAGAGCUGAGACUUCCUGUUUGUGACUGGAGUAAAGAGUUUGCUAAGCAUGAUAAAGAGGAUGUGGCUGGAGUGGUGGGUUGGAACCAAGUCAUGAAUGCCUUAGGGUUCUAUGCCUAAUGGGCCUUGGGCUUUGCAUUGGGCAAAUGUGCAAGCAGAGCCAUGCUUUGGGAAGAACGAUCUCAGGUAGUAAAUGAGACAAAAUAGAGGCAGAGAGAUUGAAGCCAGACAGAAGAGUCAGGAUGGUGCACCAGAAUGCUAGAAACAGGAAUAGAGAGGAGGGGACCAGCAGUGAAAACGAUUGGGUAGUUCACUGCAUUUGGUAGUGUGGCUUAGGUCAAAUGUUAUAAAUGGUUGGAUUACAAGGGAUUGAGAACAUACUGCUGCCUCCAUAGAAAUAAAGGAGUCUAAGAGGAACAGAUUUAUAAAAAUAAUGGGGCACCUUCAAAGAGAAUACUACUUGUGUCCCCACUUGUCUUUUUCUUUGUUAUUGGCAAAAAGAUUUUAAAAAAAGGAGGAGGUAGUAUGCCUCCUUAUACUGGUUGACUAUAGUUAGAAAUUCUUGGCUUUAAAUCUCUUCUCUGUUCUUUAUUAGCUGUGUGCACUUGGGUGAGAGUUCUAAGCACUUUAAGUCUGAGUUUCCUGAUCUGGAACAUGGAAAUAGGAAGACAUCCACUUCACACUUCAGCUCCUGAAUUUCUGGCCUGGAGUGACUGGGAGAGUCUUGUUUUCCCUUCUUCUCACAUGGGAACCUUUUGGGCUAGAUUUUCUAGUCAGCCCUUUCCCAUUUCUUUAGGCUGACUUGCCCCCAAGAUCACAAAACUCAUAUUUUUCAUUUUAGAAAAUUUGGAACAUUUCAAUAAAGCAUAAAUAAGAAAACGAACAUUGCCAAUUCCUCUCCAAAAGAAAACAUCAUAAAUGAUUUGGUAUAUUUCCUGCUAGACUUUCCUACCUUUGCUUCAAUAAAAUUGCUAUCAUAAAGUA